rnacentral:rRNA from 1 species
AGAGUUUGAUCCUGGCUCAGAAUCAACGCUGGCGGCGCGCUUAACACAUGCAAGUCGCACGAGAAAGUGGAGCAAUCCAUGAGUAAAGUGGCGUACGGGUGAGUAACACGUGGAUCAUCUACCUUCUAGUGGGGAAUACCCCCGGGAAACUGGGGACAAUACCGCAUAAGCUCGUAAGAGGAAAGCAGCAAUGCGCUGGAAGAGGAGUCCGCGGCUGAUUAGCUAGUUGGCGGGGUAACGGCCCACCAAGGCGAAGAUCGGUAGCCGGCCUGAGAGGGCACACGGCCACACUGGCACUGAAAUACGGGCCAGACUCCUACGGGAGGCAGCAGUGGGGAAUCUUGCACAAUGGAGGAAACUCUGAUGCAGCGACGCCGCGUGAGCGAUGAAGCCCUUCGGGGUGUAAAGCUCUUUCGACGGGAACGAUAAUGACGGUACCCGAAGAAGAAGCUGCGGCUAACUACGUGCCAGCAGCCGCGGUAAUACGUAGGCAGCAAGCGUUGUUCGGAAUUACUGGGCGUAAAGAGUGUGUAGGCGGUGUUCUAAGUUUGUCGUGAAAUCUCCCGGCUUAACUGGGAGGGUGCGGCGAAAACUGGAAUGCUAGAGGAUGGGAGAGGUAAGCGGAGUUCCUGGUGUAGCGGUGAAAUGCGUAGAUAUCAGGAAGAACACCUGUGGUGUAGACAGCUUACUGGACCAUUUCUGACGCUGAGACACGAAAGCGUGGGUAGCAAACAGGAUUAGAUACCCUAGUAGUCC